rnacentral:tRNA from 4 species
GGCGGGUUGCCCGAGCGGCCAAUGGGAGCGGACUGUAAAUCCGUCGCGAAAGCUACCCAGGUUCGAAUCCUGGACCCGCCA